UGGGGCGUAAAGGGCUCGCAGGCGGUCUCUUAAGUCUGAUGUGAAAGCCCCCGGCUCAACCGCGGAGGGUCAUUGGAAACUGGGAGACUUGAGUGCAGAAGAGGAGAGUGGAAUUCCACGUGUAGCGGUGAAAUGCGUAGAGAUGUGGAGGAACACCAGUGGCGAAGGCGACUCUCUGGUCUGUAACUGACGCUGAGGAGCGAAAGCGUGGGGAGCGAACAGGAUUAGAUACCCUGGUAGUCCACGCCGUAAACGAUGAGUGCUAAGUGUUAGGGGGUUUCCGCCCCUUAGUGCUGCAGCUAACGCAUUAAGCACUCCGCCUGGGGAGUACGGUCGCAAGACUGAAACUCAAAGGAAUUGACGGGGGCCCGCACAAGCGGUGGAGCAUGUGGUUUAAUUCGAAGCAACGCGAAGAACCUUACCAGGUCUUGACAUCCUCUGACACCUCUAGAGAUAGGGCUUUCCCUUCGGGGACAGAGUGACAGGUGGUGCAUGGUUGUCGUCAGCUCGUGUCGUGAGAUGUUGGGUUAAGUCCCGCAACGAGCGCAACCCUUGAUCUUAGUUGCCAGCAUUUAGUUGGGCACUCUAAGGUGACUGCCGGUGACAAACCGGAGGAAAGUGGGGAUGACGUCAAAUCAUCAUGCCCCUUAUGACCUGGGCUACACACGUGCUACAAUGGACAGAACAAAGGGCUGCGAGACCGCAAGGUUUAGCCAAUCCCAUAAAUCUGUUCUCAGUUCGGAUCGCAGUCUGCAACUCGACUGCGUGAAGCUGGAAUCGCUAGUAAUCGCGGAUCAGCAUGCGCGGUGAAUACGUUCCCGGGCUUGUACACCCGCCGUCACACCACGAGAGUUUGCAACACCCGA
rnacentral:rRNA from 1 species